CGGAAUCAUUAUCCUGCGACUCACUGUCUCCGGUCGCUCCAAGGGGCGAGCUUUCAUCGCAGUGUAGAGCGAGCGUGAGAAGCACAGACUUGAGGAGACCCAUUUUCUAAACUGCUUUUGUAGUCGCAGUCUCAUUCAAGCACCGUAUCGGAGAGAAAUUGUGUCGGUGGAUGAACCGUAUUUGUCGUCCAACUGAGAAAAUAACUAUUUUACGUUGUACAUUGAAGCGGAAGCCGAACAAGUGAGAGUGUCAUCGAACGGCACCUGAGUUAGCCAGGCAGUUGGCUAGCUGGGGAGGGUUACGAAGUGGCCGGGACCUCACAGCAGUAAAAUAAAUCAUCUUUUUUCCGGAGGAGGAGGCAGGAGCACUACAAUCGUGGACAUAUUCUAAGGGGAACCUUCUCCCUAUUUACAGUCUAAAGUCUCCAAAUAUCUGAGGCCCAGAGAGCCUCAACAGUGGGGUCUGGACGACACAAGAACCCAGUGUGGCCUGACAGCGAAACACAGAGAGAAUCAAUGCCAAGCCCUUCUCCUCCUCAGACAGCCUAGCGAAGGUGCAGGAGGUAGCAAGCUGGCUUUUGGAAAUG